rnacentral:rRNA from 1 species
UACGUAGGUAGCAAGCGUUGUCCGGAUUUACUGGGCGUAAAGGAUGCGUAGGCGGACAUUUAAGUCAGAUGUGAAAUACCCGAGCUUAACUUGGGUGCUGCAUUUGAAACUGGGUGUCUAGAGUGCAGGAGAGGUAAGUGGAAUUCCUAGUGUAGCGGUGAAAUGCGUAGAGAUUAGGAAGAACACCAGUGGCGAAGGCGACUUACUGGACUGUAACUGACGCUGAGGCAUGAAAGCGUGGGGAGCAAACAGG